rnacentral:tRNA from 1 species
CGGCAUGUAGCUCAGUGGUAGAGCGACUGGCUGAUAUCCAGUGUGUCGCAGGUUCGAUUCCGCCUUGGCUA